rnacentral:lncRNA from 1 species
GGUGAUAUUUUUCUUCAUAGUGUAGAAUAAUUUUAGUGCUUAUUCCGCAAAAAAUAUGGCCUCAACUGACCCCAUAGCUUGUAUGUUGCGCCACCACUGUUUCCUAUAUCUUAUUACAUCCGUUGUUUUUAGAUCUUGAUGCAUAACUUUGACAAUUUUUAAUAGAUAUGUGUCUGUAUAAAAAUUAUAAAUGCUAUGAUAAUUUGAUUAAUUAUGAUGAAUAAAAUGUUAUUGCUCUGACUUGAUCCCUCUAGAAUUUUCCAAAAUUUCACAUUACAGUUGUAGUAGUGCAUGCUACCUCUUGAGCAUUGCGUUAGUUUUCCCUUGAAGAGGAAAGGGUGAUGCAGUAAAGCAGCGUCAGUAUUUCCCUCAGUUUUUGAGAAGCAAGGUAUCAAUCCAGUAGGAGGCCACGCACGAGUCCCUCGCACCUACACAAACAAAUAAAAUCCUCGCAACCAACGCAAUAAAGGGGUUGUCAAUCCCUUCACGGUCACUUACGAAAGUGAGAUCUGAUAGAUUUGAUAAGAUAAUAUUUUUGGUAUUUUUAUGAUAAAGAUGCAACGUAAAGAAAGCAAAAUAAAAACAGCGCUAGAAAUAGCUUGUUGACGGGAGAUUAAAUAUGAUGGAAAAUAGACCGGGGGGCCGUAGGUUUCACUAGUGGCUUCUCUCGAGAGCAUAAGUAUUUCGGUGGGUAGACAAAUUACUGUUGAGCAAUUGACAGAAUUGAGCAUAGUUAUGAGAAUAUCAAGGUAUGAUCAUGUAUAUAGGCAUCACGUCCGAGGCAAGUAGCCCGACUCCUGCCUGCAUCUACUACUAUUACUCCACACAUCGACCGCUAUCCAGCAUGCAUCUAGAGUAUUAAGUUCAAAAGAACAGAGUAACGCUUUAAGUAAGAUGACAUGAUGUAGAGGGAUAAACUCAUGCAGUAUGAUAUAAACCCCAUCUUGUUAUGCUCGAUGGCAACAAUACAAUACGUGCCUUGCUGCCCCUACUGUCACUGGGAAAGGACACCGCAAGAUUGAACCCAAAGCUAAGCACUUCUCCCAUCGCAAGAAAGAUCAAUCUAGUAGGCCAAACCAAACUGAUAAUUUGAAGAGACUUGCAAAGAUAACCAAUCAUACAUAAAAGAAUUCAGACAAGAUUCAAAUAUUGUUCAUAGAUAAACUUGAUCAUAAACCCACAAUUCAUCGGUCUCAACAAACACACCGCAAAAGAAGAUUACAUCGAAUAGAUCUCCACAAGAGAGGGGGAGAACAUUGUAUUGAGAUCCAAAAAGAGAGAAGAAGCCAUCUAGCUAAUAACUAUGGACCCGAAGGUCUGAGGUAAACUACUCACACAUCAUCGGAGAGGCUAUGGUGUUGAUGUAGAAGCCCUCCAUGAUCGAUGCCCCCUCCGGCGGAGCUCCGGAAAAGGCCCCAAGAUGGGAUCUCAUGGGUACAGAAGGUUGCGGCGAUGGAAUUAGGUUUUUGGCUCCGUAUCUGGUAGUUUUGGGGGUACGUAGGUAUAUAUAGGAGGAAGAAGUACGUCGGUGGAGCAACGUGGGCCCCACGAGGGCGCGCCCCCUACCUCAUGCCUUCCUGGUAGAUUUCUUGACGUAGGGUCCAAGUCCUCUAGAUCACGUUCGUUCCCAAAAUCACGUUUCCGAAGGUUUCAUUCCGUUUGGACUCCGUUUGAUAUUCUUUUUCUGUGAAACUCUGAACUAGGCAAAAAACAGCAAUUCUGGGGUGGGCCUCCGGUUAAUAGGUUAGUCCCAAAAAUAAUAUAAAAGUGUAUAAUAAAGCCCAUUAAUGUCUAAAACAGAAUAUAAUAACGUUGGAGACGUAUCAAGCAUCUCCAAGCUUAAUUCCUGCUCGUCCUCGAGUAGGUAAAUGAUAAAAACAGAAUUUUUAAUGUGGAAUGCUACUUGGCAUAAUUUGAAUGUAAUUCUCUUAAUUGUGGUAUGAAUAUUUAGACCCGAAAGAUUCAAGACAAAAGUUUAAUAUUGACAUAAAAAUAAUAAUACUUCAAGCAUACUAACUAAGCAAUUAUGUCUUCUCAAAAUAACAUGGCCAAAGAAAGUUAUCCCUACAAAAUCAUAUAGUCUAGCUAUGCUCUAUCUUCACCACACAAAGUAUUUAAAUUAUGCACAACCCCGAUGACAAGCCAAGCAAUUGUUUCAUACUUUUGAUGUUCUCAAACUUUUUCAAUCUUCACGCAAUACAUGAGCAUGAGCCAUGGACAUAGCACUAUAUGUGGAAUAGAAUGGUGGUUGUGGAGAAGACAAAAAAGGAGAAGAUAGUCUCACAUCAACUAGGCGUAUCAACGGGCUAUGGAGAUGCCCAUUAAUAGAUAUCAAUGUGAGUGAGUAGGAAUUGCCAUGCAACAGAUGCACUAGAGCUAUAAGUAUAUGAAAGCUCAACAAAAGGAACUAAGUGGGUGUGCAUCCAACUCACUUGCUCAUGAAGACCUAGGGCAUUUUGAGGAAGCCCAUCAUUGGAAUAUACAAGCCAAGUUCUAUAAUGAAAAUUUCCCACUAGUACAUGAAAGUGAUAUCAUAGGAGACUCUCUAUCAUGAAGAUCAUGGUGCUACUUUGAAGAACAAGUGUGGUAAAACGAUAGUAACAUUGUCCCUUCUCUCUUUUUCUCUCUUUUUUAUUUGGGUCUUUUAUCCUUUUUUUAUGGCCUCUUUUUUUUUAGUCCGAAGACUCAUCACGACUUGUGGGGGAAUCAUAGUCUCCAUCAUCCUUUCCUCACUUGGGACAAUGCUCUAAAAAAAUGAUGAUCAUCACACUUUUAUUUACUUACAACUCAACAAUUACAACUCAAUACUUAGAACAAAAUAUGACUCUAUGUGAAUGCCUCCGACGGUAUAUCGUGAUAUGCAAUGAAUCAAGAGUGACAUGUAUGAAAGAAUUAUGAACGGUGGCUUUGCCACAAAUACAAUGUCAACUACAUGGUCAUGGAAAGCAAUAUGACAAUGAUGGAGUGUGUCAUAAUAAACUGAACGGUGGUAAGUUGCAUGGCAAUAUAUCUCGGAAUGGCUAUGGAAAUGCCACGGUAGGUAGGUAUGGUGGCUGUUUUGAGGAAGGUAUAUGGUGGGUGUAUGAUACCGGCGAAAAGUGCGCGGUAUUAGAGAGGCUAGCAAUGGUGGAAGGAAGAAAGUGCGUAUAAUCCAUGGACUCAACAUUAGCCAUAAAGAACUCAUAUACUUAUUGCAAAAAUCUACAAGUUAUCGAAGCAAAGUAUUACCCGCAUCAUUCUAGGGGGAUAGAUUGGUAGGAAAAGACAAUCACUCGUCCCCGACCGCCACUCAUAAGGAAGACAAUCAAUAAAUAAAUCAUGCUCCGACUUCAUCACAUAACGGUUCACCAUACGUGCAUGCUAAGGGAAUCACAAACUUUAACACAAGUAUUUCACAAAUUCAAAACUACUCAACUAGCAUGACUCUAAUAUCACCAUCUCCAUAUCUCAAAACAAUUAUCAAGUAUCAAACUUCUCAUAGUAUUCAACACACUCAUAAGAUUUUUUUACUAAUCUUGAGUGCCUAUCAUAAUUAAAGCAAAUUACCACGCUGUUUUGUAGGACUAUCAAAAUAAUCUAAGUGAAUCAUGAGAGAACAAUAGUUUCUAUAAAACAAAACCACCACCGUGCUCUAAAAGAUAUACGUGAAGCACUAGAGCAAAAACUAUAUAGCUCAAAGGAUAUAAGUGAAGCACAUAGAGUAUUCUAACAAUUUCUGAAUCAUGUGUGUCUCUCUCAAAAGGUGUGUACUGCAAGGAUUAUUGUGGCAAACUAACAAAUAAAGACUUCAAAUAAUACAAGACGCUCCAAGCAAAACACAUAUCAUGUGGUGAAUAAAAAUAUAGCUCCAAGUAAAGUUACCGAUGGAAGUAGACGAAAGAGGGGAUGCCUUCCGGGGCAUCCCCAAGCUUUGGGUUUUAGGUGUCCUUAGAUUAUCUUGGUGUGCCAUGGGCAUCCCCAAGCAUAGGCUCUUGCCACUCCUUGUUUCAUAAUCCAUCAAAUCUUUCACCCAAAACUUGAAAACUUCACAACACAAAACUCAGCAGAAAAUCUCGUGAGCUCCGUUAGCAAAAAACAAAACACCACUUCAAGGUACUGUAAUGAACUCAUUCUUUAUUUAUGUUGGUGUUAAACCUACUGUAUUCCAACUUCUGUAUGGUUUAUAAACUAUUUUACUAGCCAUAGAUUCAUCAAAAUAAGCAAACAACACACGAAAAACAGAAUCUGUCAAAAACAGAACAGUCUGUAGUAAUCUGUAACUAACGCAAUUUUCUGGGACUCCAAAAAUUGACCCAAAAUAGGAAGACCUAGACAAUUUUUUUAUUGAUCAGCAGCAAUUGGAAUUAAUAUUUUAUCACGUCCUGGUGAUUUUUAACAAUUAUUUUCGUGAACAGAAAGUUUCUGGAAUUUUCAGCAAGAUCAAAUAACUAUCAUCCAAGAAGAUCCUAUAGGUUAAACUUGGCACAAACACUAAUUAAAACAUAAAAACACAUGUAACCAGAGGCUAGAUCAAAUAUUUAUUCCUAAACAAAAGAAAAAAUCAUAAAAACUAAAAAUAAAAUUGGGUUGCCUACCAACAAGCGCUAUCGUUUAACGCCCCUAGCUAGGCAUAAUAGCAAUGAUAGAUCUAGGUAUUGCCAUCUUUGGUAGGCAAUCCAUAAGUGGCUCUCAUAAUAGAUUCAUAAGGUAAUUUUAUUUUCUUUCUAGGGAAGUGUUCCAUGCCUUUCCUUAAUGGAAAUUGGAAUCUAAUAUUCCCUUCCUUCGUAUCAAUAAUUGCACCAAUCGUUCUAAGGAAAGGUCUACCAAGAAUAAUAGGACAUGAAGGAUUGCAAUCUAUAUCAAGAACAAUAAAAUAUAUGGGCACAUAAUUCCUAUUUGCAACAAUAAGAACAUCAUCAAUUCUUCCCAUAGAUUUCUUAAUGGUGGAAUCCGCAAGGUGCAAGUUUAAAGAGCAAUCAUCAAAAUCACGGAAACCUAGCAAAUCGCACAAAAUCUUUGCAAUCGUGGAAACACUAGCACCCAAAUCACACAAAGCAUAGCAUUCAUGAUCUUUAAUUUUAAUUUUAAUAGUAGGUUCCCACUCAUCAUAAAGUUUUCUAGGGAUAGAAACUUCCAACUCAAGUUUUUCUUCAUAAGAUUGCAUCAAAGCAUCAACGAUAUGUUUAGUAAGGCUUUAUUUUGACUAUAAGCAUGUGGAGAAUUUAGCACGGAUUGCAACAAGGAAAUACAAUCUAUCAAAGAGCAAUUAUCAUAAUUAAAUUCCUAGAAAUCCAAAAUAGUGGGUUCAUUAAUAUCUAGAGUUUUGAUUUCUUCAAUCCCACUUUUACCAUUUUUUGCAUCAAGAUCUAAAAACUCCGAAUUUUUGGAACGCCUUCUAGGUAGAGGUGGAUCAUAUUCAGUCCCAUCAUUAUCAAGAUUCAUAUUGCAAAACAAAGAUUUAAUAGGGGACACAUCAAUAACUUUUAGAUCUUCAUCUUUAUUUUCAUAGAAACUAGAAGAACACGCUUUCACAAAACAAUCUUUCUUAGCACGCAUCCUAGCGGUUCUUUCUUUGCACUCAUCAAUGGAAAUUCUCAUGGCCUUGAGAGACUCAUUGAUAUCAUGCUUAGGAGAAAUUGUAUCAGCGUUCCUAGCCAAUUCAUCAAAUUUAAGCAAUUUUUCUUCAAGCAAAGCAUUGAAAUUGUUUUGCGAAUUCAUAAAUUCUUUAACACUAGUCUCAAAUUCAGAAGGCAUCUUAUUAAAAUUUCCAUAAUAAUUGUUGUAGGAAUUACCAUAAUUAUUAGAGGAAUUACUAGGAUACGACCUUGGAUUAAAGUUUCCUCUAUACGCGUUGUUACCAAAAUUAUUCCGACCAACAAAAUUCACAUCCAUAGAUUCAUUAUUAUUCUCAAUCAAAGUAGACAAAGGCAUAUCAUUAGGAUCAGAAGAAACACUUUUAUUAGCAAAUAAUUUCAUAAGUUCAUCCAUCUUUCCACUCAAAACAUUAAUUUCUUCUAUCGCAUGCACUUUUUUAUUAGUGGAUUUUUCGGUGUGCCAUUGAGAAUAAUUAACUAUAAUAUUAUCUAGGAGUUUAGUAGCUUCUCCUAAAGUGAUUUCCAUAAAAGUGCCUCCCGCGGCCGAAUCUAAAAGAUUUCUAGAAGAAAAAUUCAAUCCGGCAUAAAAUUUUUGUAUAAUCAUCCACAAAUUCAAACCAUGAGUAGGGCAAUUACGUAUCAUUAAUUUCAUCCUCUCGCAAGCUUGUGCAACAUGUUCAUGAUCAAGUUGCUUAAAAUUCAUAAUAUCAUUUCUAAGAGAGAUGAUCUUAGCGGGAGGAAAAUACUUAGAGAUAAAAGCAUCUUUGCACUUAUUUCAAGAAUCACUACUAUUUUUAGGCAAAGACAAAAACCAAGCUUUAGCACGAUCUCUAAGCGAAAAAGGAAAUAGCUUCAAUUUAACAAUAUCUUUGUCCACAUCUUUCUUCUUUUGCAUAUCACACAAAUCAACGAAGUUGCCAUGUCUAGGAAUGCUUGAAGCUUCAAAGAUUUCCUAUAAUACAACAUGCCUCUAACUAUUCACAAUAAGAAAAACAUGUAAAUGCGGAAUCAACCAAAUGAUGGUAAAUUGUAGUUGAUUUUGGCCAAGCAAACGUGAGAUGAAAGAAACAUACAUGAGUGAACAUCACGAUUGGAUGUUUUAUUCAAAUUUAACAGGUUAAACUCACCAAAUCCAUCUGGAUAUUUAGUAUUAAACUUUAACAGAUGGUCAGUUGUAGCUAGAUUCACACCACUGAAGCAAAAUUCCAUCUGCCACGGUUACAUCACACCAUCUUUUCAUCGUUACUAUUUAAAUUCCAAAUGCCUGCAACUCAUUUUUUUGUUAUGAUGUAUGCAUGAUUUUUAACUCAAGAGGAAGAGGGGAAACUAAAUCCAAGAAAAGAACACCAAGGAAGCAUCCAAAAUAGAGAAAGGAAAAAUCCAAAAUAGAGGCAGAAUCGAAGGGAAGAAACCCCAUAAAAAAUAGGAGAUCAAACGGUGAAAAAAAUCUAAGAGUCAAACAAUUCCAGGUAAGACCAAAUCGACGGCAAAAUAGCACAAGAGGGACUCACAUUAACAGGUAUACCAGGUAUACCAAUUCAGAAAGAAGUGUAAAGCGAACAGUGCAAUGGACCACUAGUAUAAAUUGGAUGUACACAAACAUGGGACUUAAACAGGAACUGCGAGAUGCAGGGUUCACGUGCAAACCCAAAAAACGGAAAACUGAAACCCACAACAAGAUUUUAUCUUCAUGUUUGUGUAUUAGUUGCUUCUUCCGAAUCCCCACCUAUCAAGCGUUUUCUCUGAAUAAACAAACAGAAUAGUAUUCUCUGAAUUAUACUGUACAACGGUAUUUAACAAAGCGACUGGAAUUAACAAUAUUAUGAGCUAUUGGCUUUUUAGUCAGGUAAAUAUCAUUCUUAAGACUACGGAAAACAGCAGGCGGCGAAGAAAACAUCUAUUGAUGAGAACUAUACACAUACUUAAGAAGGAAGUGACAUCUAUGGUAGCAGAACAUAUAUCAAGCUGUUGCAGCUACAUUAGCAGUUUAGCACAGUUCCUCCAUAAUACACAGGCUAGUGUAAUUUCACAAAUACAAUAAGCUAACAAUAUAUAUUUGGUAGAUGGAAAUGGCUGGAUCAUGACCAAUAUACCAUUACACAUCCGAUGAUGCAAAUAAAGAAACGAGGCCCAACAAUAGUGGAAAAUAAACCACAAUAGAACAUGUAUUUGGCGAAACCUCCAUACUGCAAUAUCAAACAUGAAUUGAAAUUAACAAUCUAGCAAAAAAACAUGACAGAUGCAGUCUUGGUCAUUUUUCCUUUUGUGACAUCCCCUAAAAAAGUAAAAACAAUGUUGUUCGUAUUUUACCAGAGAUACACUGAGCUGGGACAAUUCGGUCUGAAAUAAAAUAUGAUGGCUUCGGAGGAUUCGGAAGGCAAGAAAUUUGCUUUCUUCCAACAUAUAUGGUCUGCUGAACUAAACUUCGUUUCAACGGGCUUUGGCAAAAAUUUGUAACUGCAAACAUCAACUUGUGUGCCCGUCCUACGUCAAACUUUAACCCUGACGGAUUAAAUAUUUUAGGUUAGGCUGAGAUCAGUGUACUUUAUGAGUGUUAAGUGUACUUUCUAAAUAGCAGAGAAACCAUAACAUCUAAGCACAACCCAGCAACUUGUACAAGCUAACAUCAAAUCUGAAAGAGGAAAUGUCGAGAACAGGUGAAGGUACCAUGAUCCACGACUGAGCAAAGUUAUCUAUAAUCCUCGGUGAAUAUCAUAAAUUAGGAUCAACUACGCUGAAGAACAAACGGGAAAGGAACCUAGAAAGAUCUUCUGCCGGUAGAAUAUAACUGAUACACUAUCCUCAUUCUCGAGAUCAAGGUCGUUUCUUGAAUUGCAGUUUCCUCACUGUAGUAUGGGGUCAUUACACUGCGAAGAACAAAGUGUCAUAUGAAUCAUUUAGAGCCCAAUAUUUUUCACUGAAACUCUUAUGAUCACAUAACGAAUUUAAACAUAAGGUUUAUUAGAUAUUUGUUGUUGUGAACAGAUAAUAUAUUUCUGGUGUUGACAAUGUUUUGAUUAUGGAUGCACUUCAAGAUGGGUGGCACAGAUUCUGUUGUACAGGCCUCCACCUGGAAUUUCAUCACUUGUUAUUUUUGUUUUAGAAUGUCUAGGUGCAUUUUUCCUUUAAGGUGGAAACAGAUGUACUUGUAUAAGCAACAAGAAUACAAAGCGCCACUGCCAUACAUUGUGGAAGUUCAGUGCUUCUGUUUACAAAAUCUGCUUCCCAAAACAGAAGGAUUUAUAAUUUUUUAUUACAAUCAAGCGGACAUGAGCUGAUGAGUACAGAUGUAGACAUGUACUGAGAGCAGCACCCUUUCAAAAGUGGAUCAUUUACAAGUUGGAUAGUUUGAUGGUCUGAAAUUAGUGGUCGUGUUUCAGAAUUGUUAUCGAAUAGUAGGGGAUAUAUAUUAACUUCUGAAAUUAGUGGCUGUUUGUCAGAACUGUUAUCGAAUAACAGAGCACAUAUAUUAACUUCAAUAAGUGGAGUAAUAUUUUUGGAUUCGCUGUGAGGAAAGAUUACCAAAACAAAACAGAAGUGAGUGCGAGGACCCAGAUCAAGGCGCUCUUGAGCCUCUUCCCGACCGACCUAGAUGCAGGAGCAGAACACGGCGGAUCUAAUCAGCCAACGAAUAAAGCUGAGGCAGGUAGAGGAAGUAAGGGAGGAAGAAGACUGACUUUUCCUGGUCGCCCUCGUAGUAGAACCUGUGUUUUGAUUUUCGGCCGAAAAAAGUGGAUUUCGGCCAUCUCGGCCUGGGGCGAAAAGUGUAUUUAGGCCGAAAUUGUUCAAAUUUAGCAAAUUUUGGUCAAAUUUAAGUCAAAUUGCAGUCAAAAUUUGGUCAAAUUUCAGCCGAAAUUUUUGAAAAUGGCCGAAAUUCGGCCAUCUCAGCCUAGGGAGAAAAAAAAGCUCAAACCGAAAAUCAAAACACAGAGUAGAACAUGGCGAACAGGAUGACGAGGAAGACGAGGACAGCGUCGAGGAUGUAGACGACGAGCCAGAGCGUGUUCAUGGGCAGGAUCAAGCAUGGGCAGGAUAAGGGCGCAGGCCCCGUUGUAGGCGGCGUGCUUGCAGGCCUGGCGGUUGGCGACGUCGGCGGGGAGCAUGAGGAUGGCGAGGACGGCGACGGUGAUGCCGAGCACGACGACGAGCUUGAGGAAGUAGGCCUGGUUGGCAUCAUCCGGCUGCUGGUAGUUGACGAGCAGGUAGACGCUGACGAGGAGCACCAGGAUGCUGACCACCGCCGCCACGAUCACUAGCGCCACGUUAAAAACCCCAUCUCCUCGGGGCUCCGGUCCCGGUUCCGGCCCGCCGCCUCGCCCCCAUUGGUCGGUCAGAUCUCUCUGUCCCUAGAGGCGGGGGGACACAGGCUAGGGUUUGGGCGUGGGCGGGGAAUAGGCUGCUAUGGUGCCGGCAGCGGGGCGUGUAGGAGAGAAGGAUUAGGAGGAAUAAUUCACCACACUUUGCUUAAGCUCUCGGCUGGUUCUUAUGUAUAGAUUACAGGGCCAGCCAGGGAGAUCAUGGGGUGAUCCACUACCUGGGAUCGUGCGCCACGAUCACUACAUGCGUGCGCCACGAUCAUAUACACACACGCUACACCUAGUGUCUACGCAACUACGGUAUAGCAGUACAGUACAGUCUAACACCCCCCCGCAGUCGUGACGUCGUCGGCGGCGACGCAAAGACUGGACCGGAACUCAGAGAAAACAUCCGAUGGCAGGCCUUUGGUCAUGAUGUCCGCGAGUUGUUGGCGCAUGGGGAUGUGAAGAACACGGAAGUGGCCGAGGGCGACGCGCUCCCGCACGAAAUGGAUGUCCAGCUCCACAUGCUUAGUGCGGCGAUGAUGCACCGAAUUGGCUGACAGGUAGACUGCGGACACAUUGUCAUAGUACACCAGUGCCGCCUUGGUCACUGGAGCGGAGAGCUCGCCGAGAAACUGGCGGAGCCAGAUGCAUUCAGCGACCGCGUUGGCAACGCCGUGGUAUUCAGCUUCGGCACUGGAGCGCGAUACGGUCGCCUGGCGCUUGGAGGACCAGGAGAUGAGAGCAUCGCCGAGGAAGACGCAGAAGCCCGACGUGGAGCGUCGGGUGUCGGGGCAGCCGGCCCAGUCCGCGUCGGUGAACGCACGGACGUCGAGCGUGGUCGAGGCGCGAAGAUGAAGCCCGAGUGUGCAGGUGCCCUUCACGUACCGGAGCACGCGCUUGACGAGCGCGAGGUGACAUUCGCGCGGGUCAUGCAUGUGCAAGCAGAUUUGCUGGACGGCGUAGGCGAUCUCUGGGCGCGUGAUGGUGAGGUAGUGCAGGGCCCCGGCGAUGCUCCGAUAGGCUGAGGGGUCGUCGACGCAGGGCCCAUCGGCUGAGGGGAGUUUGCUCUUCGUGUCGAUGGGUGUCGGGGAAGGGUGGCAGGUGUCCAUGCCGGCGCGUUCCAGGAGUUCGUCGGCAUAUUGUUGUUGCGACAGGAAGAAGCCAGCUCGGGUGCGGGUCACGCGGAUGCCGAGGAAGAAGGCGAGCGAGCCCAGGUCCUUCAUGGUGAAUUCGCCUGUGAGGCGUUGGAUGACAUGGUGAAGCACGCGUGACGAGGACGCGGUGAGCACGAUGUCGUCGACGUAGAGGAGGAGGAACGCCAUGUCGUUGCCGUGCCGGAAGGUGAACAGCGACGAGUCCGAACGCGUAGCUGCGAAGCCAAUGGAGCGGACGAAGCCGGCGAAGUGGAGGAACCAGGCACGGGGCGCCUGCUUGAGCCCGUACAAGGACUUGGAGAGGCGGCGAACGUGCUCUGGUUUGUCGGGGUCGACGAAUCCGGCGGGCUGGAGGCAGUAGACUUCCUCCUCCUAGUUGCCGUGGAGGAAGGCGUUGGAGACGUCGAGGUGGUGCACCGGCCAGCCGCGUGACGCGGCCAGAGUGAGCACCGUGUGGAUCGUCGCUGGCUUGACGACGGGGGAGAACAUCUCGCCGUAGUCGACGCCGGCACGCUGAUGAAAGCCCCGCACGACCCAGUGUGCUUUGUAGCGGGCCAGCGCGCCGUCGGCGUCGUUUUUGUGCUUGAAGAUCCACUUCCCUGUGAUCAGGUUGGCGCCCGGGGGGCGGGCACCAGCUCCCACGUGCGAUUGCGCACGAGCGCAUGGCACCGAGCCAGUUCGGGUCGCGAACAGCAGCGCGAAGCGAACGUGGCACCGGCGACACCGAUGAUGAGGUAGAGGCGGUGGCCGCGUCGUAGUAGCGUGGGUUGGGGCGGAAGAUGCCGCGCUGGGCACGCGUGACCAUGGGCACAGGAGGCGCCGGUGCGCGGCGCGCCGCUGGUGGCGCGCUCGGAGACGAGCUGUCGGAGGAGCCGCUGGCGGAGUUGUCGGAGGAGCCGCUGGCGGAGGCGAAGACAGGCGGACCAGGCGCGGAUGGGCACGUCGAGGAUGGAGCCGAGCCGCCAUCGGAAGCGCCCGCAGCGUACCGCGAGCUGACGCGGCGCGCCUCGCUGGUUGGCGAGGAUGAGCGGGGCAGGCCGGUGAUGGAGAUCGGGCGCGCCGGCAGCACGGGUGACAUGCUGCUGUCAGGCACCAGUGGAAGCGCGGGCAGCGCAGGAGGCCGGACGACGAGCGGGAUCUGCAGGGUAGAGGGUAUGACGGGUGGCGUAGGCGACGGGGAAGAGGAUGCGAACGGGAAAACGUGUUCGUGGAAGAGAACGUGGCGAGACGUGAGGACGCGGCGAGAGGUGAGGUCAAAGCAGCGAAAACCACGAUGAUCGGGAGGGUACCCGAGGAAGACGCAGGCGAUAGAACGUGGCUCGAGCUUAUGGCGGGUGGUGGCGGUGACGUUCGGAUAGCAGAGGCAUCCAAAGACGCGGAGCUGCGAGUAAUCUGGGGCGACGCCGAGCAGGAGUUCAUGCGGAGUGCAGGGCGCCGAGGCGCGGUAGGGCCGACGAUUGAGCAGGUAGGUCGAGGUGUUGAGAGCCUCUGCCCAGAAGCGAGCGGGCAUGUGCGCAUGACAGAGAAGCACACGAACGCCGUCGUUGAUCGUGCGGAGAACUCGCUCGUCCUUGCCGUUCUGCUGACUGGUGUAUGGGCAGGUGAGACGGAAGUGUGUGCCGUGGCGAGCAAGCAGAGAGCGCACGGCUGCGCUGUCGAAUUCACGACCAUUGCCCAUUUGCAGUGCAAGUAUGGGUAACUGAAACUGAGUCUGAACAUAGGCAAAGAAAUCAACAAGUAUGGGAAGAACUUCAGACAUGUGUUUCAGAGGGAAAGUCCAGACAUAGUGACUGAAAUCAUCUAGUAUAACUAAGUAAAACUGAUAGCCGGAUAUGCUUACAACGGGAGCGGUCCAUACAUCAAGGUGUAAAAGCUGGAAAGAACUAGCAGUGGUGGAUGUCUGAAACGGGAGCCAGGUGUGUUUGCCAACACGACAGGCAUGACAGACAGGCGGAUCACGGCAGAACUCCAGGGACUGAUCAACAGCAACAGUGCGGAGUGCGGCAGCCCCUGGGUGGCCAUGCGUUGGUGCCGGGUGCAGGCGUGGGGUACGCCGGGGGAGGGCGGGGAGCCUGGGAGGACGGCGUGGGCGGGCCACCAAUGCCGUUGCCACGUCUGCGGCGGCGUCCGCGCCCACGCCCUUGGUUGGUGUUGCUGGGCGGGGGUGUGGGUGGUGUAGGAGAGCCGCCACGCCCGGCGACGAGAGCGUGCGCAGACUGCUGGCGAGUGGUCGACUGCUCUGCUCGGUGUUCCUCAAGCAGGACGAAGGAGCGCACCUGCAGGAACGACGGGAGCGGGACCUGCGAGGUGAUGUGAGGGAUGGCGGAGUGGAACUGCUGGUUCAGACCGCGGAGCAGGUUGAAGACCUGCCGCGAGUCGGUUACCGGCUGCCCGAGGUCGCGGAGUCGAUCCGUGAACGACUUCAUCUUGGUGCAGUACGCCAUGAUCGACAUGUCGCCCUGAACGACAUAGUGGUACUCGGCGUCGAGGUAGACAGCGCGAGCGAGGUGGUUGUCGCGGAAGAUUCCAUCGACCGCAGUCCAGAUGGCCAGAGCAGUGUCGUCCGGCUGCAUGACGACGUCGAGCAGGUCCGGCGAUAUGGUAGUGUAGAACCAGUGGACGACGACGUGAUCAGCCAUGCCCCACUCGGGAUCAUCGUGGCGGUGGAUGGCCAUGGCGUCGACGUGAGUGCGGAGGCCGAACAUGCCGAUGACGGUGUCGAAGUGGCGGCGCCACUGCGUGUAGUUGCCGGCGAGAAGGUCGAGGGUGACCGGGACAUGACGACGGAUGUCCACGGUCUGCAGGAUCGCGGAGGCGACAGGUGCUGUAGGAGGAGGAGGAGGGAUGACGGGCACCGCGGGCGCGACAGGUGCUGGAGCCGGCGGUGCGUUGGCCAGGGGGACAGCGUUGAGGACGCCGUCGGCGCCGUGCUGCGAGGAGCGAGGGGACACGACGGGGUUGUCAUCCAUGGCGGUGGAAGCGGGACUGGCGACCUGCGCGAAGGGAUUGAGCAGGUCGGGGGAGUCUGAUACCAUAUAGGAAAGAAGGAUUAGGAGGAAUAAUUCACCACACUUUGAUUGAGCUCUCGGUUGGGUCUUAUGUACAGAUUACAGGGCCAGGGAGAUCAUGGGGUGAUCCACUACCUGGGAUCGUGCGCCACGAUCACUAUAUGCGUGCGCCACGAUUAUAUACACACAUGCUACAACUAGUGUCUACGCAACUACGGUAUAGCAGUACAAUAAAGUCUAACAGGGCGGCCACCGGCGGGGAGGGCGGGAUCCGUGCGGGGUGGCGGGAUUUGGGCAGGCGGUGGGCUCGGGGGAGGGCGAUGGCAGCGAAGCAGCAAGGAGGGGCUGGAGGAGAUGAAACGAAAGAGGUCGCGUGACACAGCGACAGCGUAGUCCAAUCCCCUCGCUGCUGAUUUAAAAAAAAGGUAAUGAUAACUCCCGAACGUUCGGGAGUUAAGCAUGGCAACCCGAACGGGUUUAGAUGGCAAGUUUAGUUUGCGUGAGAUUAGGGAAACAUGGCAAUUUUCUGACAAAAGAAAUGAAAAAGGACGAAGUUGCCAUCCCCUAUCAACUAAAGUUGCCAUCCCCUAUAAAUUAAAGUUGCCAUGUAAAAACGUUCGGGACGAAAUGCUCAAAAUCCGAACGUUCGGAAGUUACUGGAUUCAAAAAAAUCCCCUUGCUGCCAAUCGCUGGCCCGUUUCUUUUUUCGCCCAAUCGCUAGGUGAUGACGUGGCUAUCGCGGGAAGGCGCCCUUGAUGCGUAGUCGAAUGGUUUUAAUUAAUAGGAAACGAGUGCUUACUCUAGUUACUGAAUCAUGUACACCAAAUAAAGCCAUUUACACGUAGUUAAUGACAAAAAAAGUUGAUGUUUGCUACGCAAAUGUGUAGUACAAAUUAAGAAGUGCAAGAUUAAAAAAAAAUGCUGGUCCUUGAUUCGUUGUUGAUCGUCAGCAUGCCAUCAUCAAUUUGUAGUUAAUUAUCAUACAAAUUGGCUCUUUCAUAGAGUUGGAGGCUAGCUCCUUUGAUCAGCACGCGCUUAAACACAAACAGCACGUAUAUGUUUUGUCUCCGGAGUUCAAUUCUUCAUCGGCCAGCAAAAAUGGCCCGACCGGGUAGAGGAAAAGGCAUGUUUGUUAGUACGCCUGGAGGAAAUGCCUUUGAUUACGGCAUCUUCAACAGCGACCAGUAAAUUUCCUUCCGCGUUCGUUCACGGAUAGGGGAUCAGUCUGCGGAUACGAAUACAGGAAUCAUCCAUCCAACGCUGUCCGCGUAUAUUUCAAACACAUUUUUUUUUUAAAAUAGGAUGAAAUUCAUGCAAACACAAUGGAUUUCAUACAAACCGGACAAAAAUGUUUACAUUUUGGACAUAUUUUUUUACUAAAAACUCUACAGCCGGCGCCGGCGAAUAUCCACCCCGGCGACAUGGAUACCCUUGACUAGUCUACUGCCGGCCGCAGCGGAUCUCCAAUGUCGUCCCCAUAUCCGGCAGCUAUGAGCCCUAGAGGUAUAUGCUUCAGCGCAAAGAGCGGCUCGCCUCCCUACCGCUCAUCGGAGUGGAACAACCAGCUGAUGCUUCUGCCGAUGGAAAGGGUCCCUACGCUACACGGAUUAGAGUUGGUUUUCGGCUGGGAACGGCGGUGGCCUGCCAGAGGGCAAGACACCGACUGUGUAUGCUGGUGUCACCUGGUGUGGCAUUCGUGGGACCCAAGCGGCAGCGCCUCCUCGAUGAUGGCGGCGAGCGCGGACGUGUUUGACACCACCUCGUCGAUGUCCGUGCAGCCGGCUUCUUUCUCUGUAGGAAGGACGCGGUUACGCUUGCGUUGACAUCGGAUGACUCGGUCACAUGCACGGGAGGGGCGGUACGACAUGGCACCGCCAAUGGCAGCCAUGAUGCCCACGCCACCGUGCUCCCUCCCAGUGCCGAUCUAGAGCAACUUGCCACUCCUCUGCUCGUGACCGGUGGGCUUGACGGGCCACCUAGCCAUUUUUUAUGCCAGACAACUCUUCUUCCUGCUCGUCAGAUGUCAUGGAUAAAACUGUUUAAGGAGGAAAAUGAUGAGUGGACGUGUGAUGCGGUUCUUGCCCAACAUCUGACAUUGUUUAAAUAGCGAGGGGAGACGAGAGGAGCCAACCGGCGUACUGUUUAAUGCCAACCGGCUCGCGAACGAACAUGUGGCCGGAGUAAUUAUCCUAGCACACACGCGGGUUUAAUGGUGGAAGGCGGGCAGUCUGCAGGAAUGAGGCGAGGAUGUGUGCUUAGCCGGCGUGCAGCAGGCGGCGCCCUCGGCCGGCGUGCUGCUUCCAUUGCGGAGGCAGUGAGAGGUCGCGUCCGCUCUGCAGCGCAUGAAUGCGGGCAGCUGGCGCAGAGCGGGAACGCGUGCGGGCGAGGGAGGAGGGGGUUUGGGCGGGUGGUCAGAAGAGGUCGUGGGUGUUGUCCGAACGCCUGCAAAGCCCCCCUCCAUGUUUGUCUCCAGUUUGCGGGAGAAAGUACGUCCGGACCGUCUCCAAUGGACCAAUACAGGCCCGCAUUGGAUAGCACAACACGUCCGGACCAUGUGGUCCGGAUGGUUGUGGACAGUUUAAUUGAGGGUCGGCGUUGGAGAUGCCUUAGAGUUUAUGAAUCCAUUGUGUUUUUCUAAUCAUAAAAAAUCACUUACAAUAAGUUAUAAGGAAAGACACGUUUAUAUGUUAGGUUCAGACUCCAGCUUUCGUUUUACAUAUGCUUUAUUCAUCCGACUGAUUCCAAUAGAGUGAGCCUAGCGUUGUUUUUCUGGAAACUCGCGGGAUAAGGAGACAUGCAUACACAUUCUUUCAAGCAAAUCACAUCCAUUUUUUUUAACUCAUUUUUCUUCUUUUAAUAAUAUAAUAGAUCAUUUAUAUUUUUUAUCUGAAACAGUUGACGUGUAAUUUAUAUUGUAAUCUGAGGAUAAUGUUUGGAUUUUACUUUCAAAUAUAUUUGAAAUGGCCAUGAUGGAAUCACAUCCAUUUAUUUUAUUAUUAUUUGAAUUUGAUCCAAAAGAUAAAUAAUGAGUAGAGGUCAUGUCAACUUUUCUGAGAACUUUGCUAAUCAAAAUAUAAAUUGUAUUUAAAAACAUCUAUUUUUUAGCACGCAUGAAAAACAUAACACGUAUCUUUUCACACAUAAUGAACGGUUGUCAUAAGAACUCAUGCCAUGCCACAACCUCCCUCCGACCCUGCCAACAUUGUUGCAGCUGCACUCGCAAGCCUUAGCGUAGAUGAUAAUUUAUACAAUUUGCGUAAAACAAAAUAAGAUCUACAAAUGAAUAGAAGCUAGAACGUACAUUGGCAUGCACACACAUUGCAAGCCAUACUAAGCUGAUAAGUGUUAAUAACUUGUACAACAUAUACAACACUUAAGACAAGUAAAAGCAAUUUGAUGAGUCAUGGUCUAUCAAAGCCACAUUACUAGUCUAAUCCAUCUUAACAGGUCACACAUGAUUAAAAUCUUGUUUGUGUGCAAGUCAAGCUUAUCUAGUUUACAUGUAACAACUUGUAGAACAUUACAAAAUUUAUGUUUGCUAAUAACUUCUAGAACACUACAACACUUGACAUGUAAAAGGAAUUUGAUGAGUCAUGGCCUACUAAAGCAAGUUAUAUUACUAGUCUUAUCUACCAUAACAGGCCACACAAGAUUACAAACCAAGUUCUGUGCCAGCCAUGCUUAUCUAGUUUAUGCGUAACAAUUUGCAGAAAAUUACAAACUUAGUUUCAGAAAAAUAGGCAAUCUAGAUUAGUGUUUGAGCUGUAAAGUGAAUAAAAUGAGUCAUGCGUGUUAUCACACCUUUUUGGUUGUGGAAUGAUAGUGCAACAACAAGGAACUUUAAUGACCAGUUCAAGAAUACACUUGUAAGUAGUGCCACCGAACACAACAUACCAAAUUAUGAUUUUGAGAAGCAUCCAAGCACAUCCACACAAGCAAAUGCCAAUUGUGAAAGAGAUCAUGCCAUGGCAGCUAUAAAUAGGCCCGUAGCAUGACGAUCAUCCUUCCUCAUCCAUCAUUCUCAUAAGUAGAGCGCAUCAUUUAAGCCAAGCAAGCAGUGCUCAAUACAAAUCCACCAUGAAGACCUUUCUCAUCCUUGCCCUCCUUGCUAUUGUAGCAACCACCGCCACAAUUGCAGUUAGAGUUCCAGUGCCACAAUUGCAGCCACAAAAUCCAUCUCAGCAACAACCACAAGAGCAAGUUCCAUUGGUACAACAACAGCAAUUUCCAGGGCAGCAACAACCAUUUCCACCACAACAGCCAUAUCCGCAGCCGCAACCAUUUCCAUCACAACAACCAUAUCUGCAGCUGCAACCAUUUCCGCAGCCGCAACUACCAUAUCCGCAGCCGCAACCAUUUCGACCACAACAACCAUAUCCACAACCGCAACCACAGUAUUCGCAACCACAACAACCAAUUUCACAGCAGCAGCAGCAGCAGCAACAACAACAACAACAACAACAACAGAUCCUUCAACAAAUUUUGCAACAAUAACUGAUUCCAUGCAGGGAUGUUGUAUUGCAACAACACAGCAUAGCGCAUGGAAGCUCACAAGUUUUGCAACAAAGUACUUACCAGCUGGUGCAACAAUUGUGUUGUCAACAGCUGUGGCAGAUCCCCGAGCAGUCGCGGUGCCAAGCCAUCCACAAUGUUGUUCAUGCUAUUAUUCUGCAUCAACAACAACAACAACAACAACAACCGUUGAGCCAGGUCUGCUUCCAACAGCCUCAACAACAAUAUCCAUCAGGCCAGGGCUCCUUCCAGCCAUCUUAGCAAAACCCACAGGCCCAGGGCUCUGUCCAGCCUCAACAACUGCCCCAGUUUGAGGAAAUAAGGAACCUAGCGCUAGAGACGCUACCUGCAAUGUGCAAUGUCUAUAUCCCUCCAUAUUGCACCAUUGCUCCAGUUGGCAUCUUCGGUACUAACUGAGAAUAGAAUAACUCUAGUAGUAGAUAUAUGAUACACCGUUUUCUUAGUCCAUGGUUUGGUCGUUGUAGCGGUGAAAAAAUAAAGUGACAUGCACUAUCAUGUAAGAACCCGAACUAUACUAUUUCAAACAUGGGAAUAAAAGACAAACACAUGUCUUGUCUACAUAUGAUUGUUUGUUUGAGUUCCACUCAUGUGCCCACUCACAAGUUCACCCCUAAUUAUAUAUAUUAUGCAUUAAGUAGAUAUUUAUGUUGCAUUAAUCUAAAGAUAACAAAAUGAGUCUGAAAUUUGAAUUAAAUUGAAGUAUUUCCUUGGACUUUCAAAUGGAGUAUUAUUAAAGUAGUAAGGACUAUCCACAUCCUUGGCUUGCCCUUGAUCAAUUAUUUCCAGAGAAGCAUUCAAUUCAUCAAUCAAUUACAUUGAUUUUUGUGGCUGGUACUUCUCCUCAACAUGAGUAUAUUCAUCGCGGCUACUCCAAAUAGCCAUGAAUGAGGUACCGGUGCUCUGGAGCACUGGUACCUAACUGCUUCUCAUGUGAAGGGGUGCGGGCGCGGGAGAGGUGUUUUUGGUGGGCCAGGGGAGUAAGAAGCGGCCGUGGCAGCGGUCCAGACGCCCACAAAGCCCCGUAGUUUGUUUUUGGUUUACAGGAAAAUGCACAUCCAGACUGGCCUGCGGGCCGAUAUAGGACCGUAUUGGAUGGCAAAACAUGUCCGGAUGGUCGCGAGCGGUUUAAGGGUUAGCUUUUGUAACACCCGGUUAGUUAUGCUAUGGUAAUUCCCUGCUAAUGAUGUCACGUCAGCACGAUUACUGUUGUUAACCUCACAAUGAUUCAAUCCCAUUCAAAUUCAAAUUUAAAAUAAAGGCAAACAUCAAAAGUUUCAAACAUUAAAACUAAAAUCUUCGAGAGGUGAAAAAUAAUGCAUAAGUAAUUAUGGUGGAGAAACCACACUUUUAUAAAAUGUUUAAAUACUCUAAAAAUAAUAAAACAGUGGCUUAAACUAUUAUUUAAAUGCUUUUAAAAUAGUAAAAAUGUUCUAACUAAAUUAAUUGGGUACCAAACUUUUGGUGGCAGUGGUAUAUUUAGUAGAACUAAUUUAGAUGCUAAUAAAACAUAAAAGGAAAGACAAAACAAAUAAAAGUAAAAGGGGGCAACCCUUGGCUGGGCCUCGGCCAAGCUGGGCACUUGGCUAGCUAGGUUGGCCCAACCGCCUCCCUUAACCCCCCACUCCCCAUCGAACCCUAGACCGAUCGCCCCACUUCCCCCCCACCCCCUCGUCAGCCUCCCCACCUCUCGAUCCCAUCUGGAUCGGGGAGGGGAUCGCCUUCAUCGACCCCGUCGCGGUCGCUGGAUCGCCCGCUCGCCCAUCGCCCGCCGGCGUCGCCGGACCUCCUCCCCGUCGCAUGUCUCCGGCUCUCCUCCCCUCUCGCUCCUCUUCCCCGACCCGAUCUAGAUCGGGAAGGGCCAAUGAGCCCAACGCCCCCCUCCAUCGACGCUGUGCUCCAGCACCGCCGCCCGAAGACCUCGCCAUCGCCGGACCUCGCGUCGCCUCCUCGUAUCCCUCCCCGACUCGCCUCCUCAAGCCACGCCGACCCCCUCUCGGCAACGCCGUGAGCCGCACCCGUUUCCCUCCUUCUCUUUCCACCGUGUUCACCGCGCCGCCUGCCGUGCCCCUCGCCGCGCGCACGCCCACCACCGCGCCAGCCCCCGCUCCCGCCCUCUCCUGCACGCUUGUGCGCGCAUGACCCUAGCCGCGCCCACGCCGUGAUCCCCUUGUCCCGCCCGCCUUCGUCCCGCGCUCGCCGCGGCCCCCAUGCUCCCCUGCGCCCUCUUUUGGGGCCGUCGGCUGCCCCUGUCCCGCAGCUCGCUGGCAUGCGUCCCCGCCUGCGCCUCGCCACCGCUCUACUGCUACGCUACUAUUGCGCUGUGGCCGCCGCCGCUUCCCGCUGCUCUGCCAGCGCCAAAGCUCCUGGUUGGCCCUGCCGCUGCUCGCGUUUAACCGCCGGCCUAAGCGGCCUAACCUCCCCCCUCGCUAAUGAACCCCCACCGACCCGCUGACACCGGGACCCACAUCCCCUAAUUAACCAUUUAAUAAAUUAAAACUCUUAAAUUAACAUUAGUGUAUGACAUGUGGGUCCCCUAUUAAUUAAACUGAUUUAAUUAAAAUCUAUUAACUUUGAGUCUAUGACAUAUGGGCCCCACUAAACAUUUGACCAAUCAACGGUCCAGUCAAAUGCUGACCGGACAGUUGACCAGAGGGCCCCGCCAGUCAGCCAAUGUGCUGUUCUGCUGGGUACCUUUCUAAGUACACCUAGCAUUUUGCAUUUACAAUAUUUGUUUUAAAAUAAAUUAGAAUAAUUUCAAAAAAAUAUUAAAACUUUUAAAAUUAAAAUAAAAUAAUCCGUAACUCGGAUGAAAUUACUUUAUACAUGGAAGUUGCUCAAAAAAUGAGACGAAUCCGAAUACACAGUCCGUUCGUCUGCCACGCGUCCCUAGCAUAGCGAACAUGCAACCAUCCCCCUCCGGUUCGACUGUCCGAAAAAUUAUUAUUGCACAUGCCCGCUAAGAGGUUGGCUGUAUAUGACAUGACAACUUCUUAUAGCCGAGCCUUGGCUGUAUUAUUAACCAUGCUCUUAGUGAGGUAGCUAGUAUAUCAUAGACGACUAGCUAGUAUCAGACUAGCCAAAGUGGGAGUAACUUCAGCAGUAACAUCGACUCCAACUCAGCAAACUUCCUUAUGUGGGAGUAAACCGUGCCCAAUGCAAAAUACAAUCCCAGUCGUAAUUUUUUCAGGAAACGUGUGGGAUCCCAAACGAAAAGCACACGUCACUCUUGCGGCAACCGUCGGUGACACCCAAUAAAUCACAAACGGUCUGCAGCAGCUGUAUGUGUGCAAAGGGGCUCCUGAACCGUUUGUGAUAGAACAUUAUCGCAGACGGUAAUUGUUGGCAAACGUGUGCGAUGGAGUCUAGCAUGGCAGACGGGUUACGCAGAAAACUCGUGUGUGAUGGGGCACAAAUCGCACACAGUUCAUAUGUUGGUCCAUGUGCCUUACAUACUAUUUCCCAAAUGGUUUGUUACGACAGACCGUAUCGUUUCAGUGCGUCAUUAGAAACGCUUAAUCACUGAUACCACACGUGCGAAAGAAAUUAGUGCGUGAUGCAUCGCACACGAUUACAUUUUGGAAGGCCUCUGGAUCACUGCUCCAUAUCCCCGACGGUUUCUGGGCCGUGUGGGAAGGACACCCUAUCGCACACACUCACUUGGCGAUGGUUCCAAAUGCUGUCGCAGAAAAGGGUUAAAAACAGUUUGUUUAGGACCGACGCGUACCAGUGUCUAUCUAUCUAUCUAUCUAUCUAUCUAUGUAUCUAUCUAUCUAUCCAUCUAUCUAUCUAUCUAUCUAUCUAUCUAUCUAUCUAUCUAUCUAUCUAUCUCAAUCCACCUAUCUAUCUAUCCAUCUAUCUAUCUCUCCAUCUAUCCAUCUAUCUAUCCAUCUAUCCAUCCAUCUACUAUCCAUCUAUCUAUCCAUCCAUCCAUCUAUCUAUCCAUCCAUCCAUCUAUCUAUCUAUNNNNNNNNNNNNNNNNNNNNNNNNNNNNNNNNNNNNNNNNNNNNNNNNNNNNNNNNNNNNNNNNNNNNNNNNNNNNNNNNNNNNNNNNNNNNNNNNNNNNNNNNNNNNNNNNNNNNNNNNNNNNNNNNNNNNNNNNNNNNNNNNNNNNNNNNNNNNNNNNNNNNNNNNNNNNNNNNNNNNNNNNNNNNNNNNNNNNNNNNNNNNNNNNNNNNNNNNNNNNNNNNNNNNNNNNNNNNNNNNNNNNNNNNNNNNNNNUCUAUGUAUCCAUUUAUCCAUUGAUCCAUCUAUCGAUCCAUCCAUCCAUCCAUCUAUCCAUCAAUCUAUCUAUCCAUGUAUCCAUGUAUCCAUCUAUCCAUCUAUCGAUCUAUCCAUCCAUCUAUCUAUCUAUCUAUCCAUCUAUCCAUCUAUCGAUCUAUCCAUCUAUCUAUCUAUCCAUCCAUCUAUCGAUCUAUCGGUCUAUCCAUCUAUCGAUCUAUCCAUCUCUCCAUCUACCCAACUAUCCAUCUAUCCAUCUAUUCAUCUACCGAUCUAUCUAUCCAUCUAUCUAUCUAGCUAUCUAGCUAUCUAGCUAUCUAUCUAUCUAUCUAUCUAGCUAUCUAGCUAUCUAUCUAUCUAGUUAUCUAGCUAUCUAUCUAUCUACCUACCUACCUACCUACCUACCUACCUAUCUAUCUAUCUAUCUAUCUAUCUAUCUAUCUAUCUAUCUAUCUAUCUAUCUAUCUAUCUAUCUAUCUAUCUAUCUAAAGGAAAUAUGCCCUAGAUGCAAUAAUAAAGUUGUCAUUUAUAGUUCGUUAUAUCAUGAUAAACUAGCGGAGUCACCCGCGCAUUUGCGCGGCUAGAUUGACUACAUAUAUUGUUAUAUUUGGGAUUAUUUUUCUAUGCCAAUUUUAUGGCCUCUUACUCAGAUAUUAUCUAAUUGAAUUUACCACCACCAUAUGUUAUAUCCAUAGAUUAUAAUGAAAAGGCAACUUCCGACGAAACAUGGACAGAUUAUUGAGUGCUCAGAAGACGGACGCAAUAUCAUAUAUAGACUUCUAUACCAAUCUUCAUGGUUCCCAUCUUUGAUCCUCUCCUCGUCCCUUGGUAUCUAUCUUUGCACCCAAUAUGUCUUUGGAGUUCCAAGAAUUGAAUCUUAGCAUGAAUGGCUUCAAUGUGUACCAAAUGUUCUCUUGUUCCUCCCAAAUUAAUUACUGGUUGCAUUCUUAGUUGCUUUGACAUUCUUGGUUAAUGCAAUUUCUUGCCUACCAAUAUAUGCAUCCACACACGAUCAUAUUUAUAUGACCACUUACCUCUGUAUUCUGGUAUUUGUGCUUCAGAAUUUUUCUCUCAUUCAGUUUAUUCAUAGAUUAAAAACGUCGAUCGUUUCUUUAUUGGUUUGCAUUAUCUUGUUUGCCGAACGUAAGCAUCCACACAUGCUCGUCAUGAUAUGAUUGGUCAUCAUUGUAUAUUUGUAUUUGUGUGUUGAUAGCUUAAGGAUUUUCUCGGAUUCACUUCAUAGUUUAAGGAUUUUCUCGCGUUCAAUUUAUUCUACCUUAUUCAUUUUCAUGUUUCUUUAUUGCAUUUAUAUCAAUUCUUACAAUAUAUUUUCCAAGAUAUGAACUCAACUACUAAUUACGUAGUUUUUCAUCAAAAAUUACAUGUAAAAAUGUUACAAAUGCAUAAACAUGAUAAAAAUAUAUAUCAUAUUCCAUUGAGAGAUCGCCCAUUUAAAAAAAACACGUUGACUUACAAAAAGGACAAUUCAAGCUGCAUGUACGUCCGACUCAUGUUUACCUGACAAUGUCGAUGUUGAUUUCAGCAGUAAAUGAGCUGUGUGUGACCUUUGCGCUUUCCGGUAUUCUUCUAACCUGUGUGCUUUAUGAUCAGUUUGUUGUGCUUAGUACUGGACACUUGAGUAUACUAUCAUAUUUGGUACAAAUAAAUCUGAACUACUAUAGUUAUGAUCCACUGUAUAGUUAAUGGUGGUGGUAAUUAAUAUAUGUGGUUAAAUACUUGCGCUCCUUAGGUGGGGAGUUGGAUUUGUAUUUCCCUAAAAUAAAUUUCAGAUUUCGUAAUAGUGGUGAAGCCAGCCGGAAGAACCUCUGCGUCAUUAUUAAUUUUGGUGAUAUUUUUCUUCAUAGUGUAGAAUAAUUUUAGUGCUUAUUCCGCAAAAAAUAUGGCCUCAACUGACCCCAUAGCUUGUAUGUUGCGCCACCACUGUUUCCUAUAUCCUAUUACAUCCGUUGUUUUUAGAUCUUGAUGCAUAACUUUGACAAUAUUUAAUAGAUAUGUGUCUGUAUAAAAAAUUAUAAAUGCUAUGAUAAUUUGAUUAAUUAUGAUGAAUAAAAUGUUAUUGCUCUGACUUGAUCCCUCUAGAAUUUUCCAAAAUUUCACAUUACAGUUGUAGUAGUGCAUGCUACCUCUUGAGCACUGCGUUAGUUUUCCCUUGAAGAGGAAAGGGUGAUGCAGUAAAGUAGCGUCAGUAUUUCCCUCGGUUUUUGAGAACCAAGGUAUCAAUCCAGUAGGAGGCCACGCAUGAGUCCCUCGCACCUACACAAACAAAUAAAAUCCUCGCAACCAACGCAAUAAAGGGGUUGUCAAUCCCUUCACGGUCACUUACGAAAGUGAGAUCUGAUAGAUUUGAUAAGAUAAUAUUUUUGGUAUUUUUAUGAUAAAGAUGCAACGUAAAGAAAGCAAAAUAAAAAAAGCGCCAGAAAUAGCUUGUUGACGGGAGAUUAAAAUAGACCGGGGGGCCAUAGGUUUCACUAGUGGCUUCUCUCGAGAGCAUAAGUAUUUUGGUGGGUAGACAAAUUACUGUUGAGCAAUUGACAGAAUUGAGCAUAGUUAUGGGAAUAUCAAGGUAUGAUCAUGUAUAUAGGCAUCACGUCCGAGGCAAGUAGCCCGACUCCUGCCUGCAUCUACUACUAUUACUCCACACAUCGACUGCUAUCCAGCAUGCAUCUAGAGUAUUAAUUUCAAAAGAACAGAGUAACGCUUUAAGUAAGAUGACAUGAUGUAGAGGGAUAAACUCAUGCAGUAUGAUAUAAACCCCAUCUUGUUAUCCUCGAUGGCAACAAUACAAUACGUGCCUUGCUGCCCCUACUGUCACUGGGAAAGGACACCGCAAGAUUGAACCCAAGCUAAGCACUUCUCCCAUCGCAAGAAAGAUCAAUCUAGUAGGCCAAACCAAACUGAUAAUUCGAAGAGACUUGCAAAGAUAACCAAUCAUACAUAAAAGAAUUCAGACAAGAUUCAAAUAUUGUUCAUAGAUAAACUUGAUCAUAAACCCACAAUUCAUCGGUCUCAACAAACACACCGCAAAAGAAGAUUACAUCGAAUAGAUCUCCACAAGAGAGGCGGAGAACAUUGUAUUGAGAUCCAAAAAGAGAGAGGAAGCCAUCUAGCUAAUAACUAUGGACCCGAAGGUCUGAGGUAAACUACUCACACAUCAUCGGAGAGGCUAUGGUGUUGAUGUAGAAGCCCUCCAUGAUCGAUGCCCCCUCCGGCGGAGCUCCGGAAAAGGCCCCAAGAUGGGAUCUCACGGGUACAGAAGGUUGCGGCGAUGGAAUUAGGUUUUUGGCUCCGUAUCUGGUAGUUUGGGGGUACGUAGGUAUAUAUAGGAGGAAGAAGUACGUCGGUGGAGCAACGUGGGCCCCACGAGGGCGCGCCCCCCUACCUCGUGCCUUCCUGGUAGAUUUCUUGACGUAGGGAACAAGUCCUCUAGAUAACGUUCGUUCCCAAAAUCACGUUUCCGAAGGUUUCAUUCCGUUUGGACUCGGUUUGAUAUUCUUUUUCUGUGAAACUCUGAACUAGGCAAAAAACAGCAAUUCUGGGGUGGGCCUCCGAUUAAUAGGUUAGUCCCAAAAAUAAUAUAAAAGUGUAUAAUAAAGCCCAUUAAUGUCUAAAACAGAAUAUAAUAUAGCAUGGAACAAUAAAAAAUUAUAUAUACGUUGGAGACGUAUCAAGCAUCCCCAAGCUUAAUUCUUGCUCGUCCUCGAGUAGGUAAAUGAUAAAAACAGAAUUUUUAAUGUGGAAUGCUACUUGGCAUAAUUUCAAUGUAAUUCUCUUAAUUGUGGUAUGAAUAUUCAGACCCGAAAGAUUCAAGACAAAAGUUUAAUAUUGACAUAAAAAUAAUAAUACUUCAAGCAUACUAACUAAGCAAUUAUGUCUUCUCAAAAUAACAUGGCCAAAGAAAGUUAUCCCUACAAAAUCAUAUAGUCUAGCUAUGCUCUAUCUUCACCACACAAAGUAUUUAAAUUAUGCACAACCCGGAUGACAAGCCAAGCAAUUGUUUCAUACUUUUGAUGUUCUCAAACUUUUUCAAUCUUCACGCAAUACAUGAGCAUGAGCCAUGGACAUAGCACUAUAUGUGGAAUAGAAUGGUGGUUGUGGAGAAGACAAAAAAGGAGAAGAUAGUCUCACAUCAACUAGGCGUAUCAACGGGCUAUGGAGAUGCCCAUUAAUAGAUAUCAAUGUGAGUGAGUAGGAAUUGCCAUGCAACGGAUGCACUAGAGCUAUAAGUAUAUGAAAGCUCAACAAAAGGAACUAAGUGGGUGUGCAUCCAACUCGCUUGCUCAUGAAGACCUAGGGCAUUUUGAGGAAGCCCAUCAUUGGAAUAUACAAGCCAAGUUCUAUAAUGAAAAUUUGCCACUAGUACAUGAAAGUGAUAUCAUAGGAGACUCUCUAUCAUGAAGAUCAUGGUGCUACUUUGAAGAACAAGUGUGGUAAAAGGAUAGUAACAUUGUCCCUUCUCUCUUUUUCUCUCAUUUUUUUAUUUGGGUCUUUUAUCCUUUUUUAUGGCCUCUUUUUUUUAGUCCGAAGUCUCAUCCCGACUUGUUGGGGAAUCAUAGUCUCCAUCAUCCUUUCCUCACUUGGGACAAUGCUCUAAAAAAUGAUGAUCAUCACACUUUUAUUUACUUACAACUCAACAAUUACAACUCAAUACUUAGAACAAAAUAUGACUCCAUGUGAAUGCCUCCGGCGGUAUACCGUGAUAUGCAAUGAAUCAAGAGUGACAUGUAUGAAAGAAUUAUGAACGGUGGCUUUGCCACGAAUACAAUGUCAACUACAUGAUCAUGGAAAGCAAUAUGACAAUGAUGGAGUGUGUCAUAAUAAACUGAACGGUGGUAAGUUGCAUGGCAAUAUAUCUCGGAAUGGCUAUGGAAAUCCUAUGGUAGGUAGGUAUGGUGGCUGUUUUGAGGAAGGUAUAUGGUGGGUGUAUGAUACCGGCGAAAAGUGCGCGGUAUUAGAGAGGCUAGCAAUGGUGGAAGGAAGAAAGUGCGUAUAAUCCAUGGACUCAACAUUAGCCAUAAAGAACUCAUAUACUUAUUGCAAAAAUCUACAAGUUAUCGAAGCAAAGUAUUACCCGCAUCAUCCUAGGGGGAUAGAUUGGUAUGAAAAGACCAUCGCUCAUCCCAGACCGCCACUCAUAAGGAAGACAAUCAAUAAAUAAAUCAUGCUCCGACUUCAUCACAUAACGGUUCACCAUACGCGCAUGCUAAGGGAAUCACAAACUUUAACACAAAUAUUUCGCAAAUUCAAAACUACUCAACUAGCAUGACUCUAAUAUCACCAUCUCCAUAUCUCAAAACAAUUAUCAAGUAUCAAACUUCUCAUAGUAUUCAACACACUCAUAAGAUUUUUUUACUAAUCUUGAGUGCCUAUCAUAAUUAAAGCAAAUUACCACGCUGUUUUGUAGGACUAUCAAAAUAAUCUAAGUGAAUCAUGAGAGAACAAUAGUUUCUAUAAAACAAAACCACCACCGUGCUCUAAAAGACAUACGUGAAGCACUAGAGCAAAAACUAUAUAGCUCAAAAGAUAUAAGUGAAGCACAUAGAGUAUUCUAACAAUUUCCGAAUCAUGUGUGUCUCUCUCAAAAGGUGUGUACUGCAAGGAUUAUUGUGGCAAACUAACAAAUAAAUACUUCAAAUAAUACAAGACGCUCCAAGAAAAACACAUAUCAUGUGGUGAAUAAAAAUAUAGCUCCAAGUAAAGUUACCGAUGGAAGUAGACGAAAGAGGGGAUGCCUUCCGGGGCAUCCCCAAGCUUUGGCUUUUAGGUGUCCUUAGAUUAACUUGGGGUGCCAUGGGCAUCCCCAAGCUUAGGCUCUUGCCACUCCUUGUUUCAUAAUCCAUCAAAUCUUUCACCCAAAACUUGAAAACUUCACAACACAAAACUCAGCAGAAAAUCUCGUGAGCUCCGUUAGCAAAAGAAAACAAAACACCACUUCAAGGUACUGUAAUGAACUCAUUCUUUAUUUAUAUUGGUGUUAAACCUACUGUAUUCCAACUUCUCUAUGGUUUAUAAACUAUUUUACUAGCCAUAGAUUCAUCAAAAUAAGCAAACAACACACGAAAAACAUAAUCUGUCAAAAACAGAACAGUCUGUAGUAAUCUGUAACUAACGCAAUUUUCUGGGACACCAAAAAUUGACCCAAAAUAGGAAGACCUAGACAAUUUUUUUAUUGAUCAGCAGCAAUUGGGAUCAAUAUUUUAUCACGUCCUGGUGAUUUUUAACAAUUAUUUUCGUGAACAGAAAGUUUCUAGAAUUUUCAGCAAGAUCAAAUAACUAUCAUCCAAGAAGAUCCUAUAGGUUAAACUUGGCACAAACACUAAUUAAAACAUAAAAACACAUGUAACCAGAGGCUAGAUCAAAUAUUUAUUCCUAAACAAAAGAAAAAAUCAUAAAAAACUAAAAAUAAAAUUGGGUUGCCUCCCAACAAGCGCUAUCGUUUAAUGCCCCUAGCUAGGCAUAAUAGCAAUGAUAGAUCUAGGUAUUGCCAUCUUUGGUAGGCAAUCCAUAAGUGGCUCUCAUAAUAGAUUCAUAAGGUAAUUUUAUUUUCUUUCUAGGGAAGUGUUCCAUGCCUUUCCUUAAUGGAAAUUGGAAUCUAAUAUUCCCUUCCUUCGUAUCAAUAAUUGCACCAAUCGUUCUAAGGAACGGUCUACCAAGAAUAAUAGGACAUGAAGGAUUGCAAUCUAUAUCAAGAACAAUAAAAUCUACUGGCACAUAAUUCCUAUUUGCAACAAUAAGAACAUCAUCAAUUCUUCCCAUAGGUUUCUUAAUGGUGGAAUCCGCAAGGUGCAAGUUUAAAGAGCAAUCAUCAAAAUCACGGAAACCUAGCAAAUCGCAUAGAAUCUUUGGAAUCGUGGAAACACUAGCACCCAAAUCACACAAAGCAUAGCAUUCAUGAUCUUUAAUUUUAAUUUUAAUAGUAGGUUCCCACUCAUCAUAAAGUUUUCUAGGGAUAGAAACUUCCAACUCAAGUUUUUCUUCAUAAGAUUGCAUCAAAGCAUCAACGAUAUGUUUAGUAAGGCUUUAUUUUGACUAUAAGCAUGUGGAGAAUUUAGCACGGAUUGCAACAAGGAAAUACAAUCUAUCAAAGAGCAAUUAUCAUAAUUAAAUUCCUUGAAAUCCAAAAUAGUGGGUUCAUUAAUAUCUAGAGUUUUGAUUUCUUCAAUCCCACUUUUACCAUUUUUUGCAUCAAGAUCUAAAAACUCCGAAUUUUUGGAACGCCUUCUAGGUAGAGGUGGAUUAUAUUCAGUCCCAUCAUUAUCAAGAUUCAUAUUGCAAAACAAAGAUUUAAUAGGGGACACAUCAAUAACUUUUAGAUCUUCAUCUUUAUUUUCAUAGAAACUAGAAGAACACGCUUUCACAAAACAAUCUUUCUUAGCACGCAUCCUAGCGGUUCUUUCUUUGCACUCAUCAAUGGAAAUUCUCAUGGCCUUGAGAGACUCAUUGAUAUCAUGCUUAGGAGAAAUUCUAUCAGCGUUCCUAGCCAAUUCAUCAACUUUAAGCAAUUUUUCUUCAAGCAAAGCAUUGAAAUUGUUUUGCGAAUUCAUAAAUUCUUUAACACUAGUCUCAAAUUCAGAAGGCAUCUUAUUAAAAUUUCCAUAAUAAUUGUUGUAGGAAUUACCAUAAUUAUUAGAGGAAUUACUAGGAUACGGCCUUGGAUUAAAGUUUCCUCUAUACGCGUUGUUACCAAAAUUAUUCCGACCAACAAAAUUCACAUCCAUAGAUUCAUUAUUAUUCUCAAUCAAAGUAGACAAAGGCAUAUCAUUAGGAUCAGAAGAAACACUUUUAUUAGCAAAUAAUUUCAUAAGUUCAUCCAUCUUUCCACUCAAAACAUUAAUUUCUUCUAUCAUGCACUUUUUAUUAGUGGUUUUUUCGGUGUGCCAUUGAGAAUAAUUAACCAUAAUAUUAUCUAGGAGUUUAGUAGCUUCUCCUAAAGUGAUUUCCAUAAAAGUGCCUCCCGCGGCCGAAUCUAAAAGAUUUCUAGAAGAAAAAUUCAAUCCGGCAUAAAUUUUUUGUAUAAUCAUCCACAAAUUCAAACCAUGAAUAGGGCAAUUACGUAUCAUUAAUUUCAUCCUCUCGCAAGCUUGUGCAACAUGUUCAUGAUCAAGUUGCUUAAAAUUCAUAAUAUCGUUUCUAAGAGAGAUGAUCUUAGCGGGAGGAAAAUACUUAGAGAUAAAAGCAUCUUUGCACUUAUUUCAAGAAUCACUACUAUUUUUAGGCAAAGACAAAAACCAAGCUUUAGCACGAUCUCUAAGCGAAAAAGGAAAUAGCUUCAAUUUAACAAUAUCAUUGUCCACAUCUUUCUUCUUUUGCAUAUCACACAAAUCAACGAAGUUGCCAUGUCUAGGAAUGCUUGAAGCUUCAAAGAUUUCCUAUAAUACAACAUGCCUCUAACUAUUCACAAUAAGAAAAACAUGUAAAUGCGGAAUCAACCAAAUGUUGGUAAAUUGUAGUUGAUUUUGGCCAAGCAAACGUCAGAUGAAAGAAACAUACAUGAGUGAACAUCACGAUUGGAUGUUUUAUUCAAAUUUAACAGGUUAAACUCACCAAAUCCAUCUGGAUAUUUAGUAUUAAACUUCAACAGAUGGUGAGUUGUAGCUAGAUUCACAACACUGAAGCAAAAUUCCAUCUGCCACGGUUACAUCACACCAUCUUUUCAUCGUUACUAUUUAAAUUCCAAAUGCCUGCAACUCAUUUUUUUGUUACGAUGUAUGCAUGAUUUUUAACUCAAGAGGAAGAGGGGAAACUAAAUCCAAGAAAAGAACACCAAGGAAGCAUCCAAAAUAGAGAAAGGAAAAAUCCAAAAUAGAGGCAGAAUCGAAGGGAAGAAACCCCAUAAAAAAUAGGAGAUCAAACGGUGAAAAAAAUCUAAGAGUCAAACAAUUCCAGGUAAGACCAAAUCGACGACAAAAUAGCACAAGAGGGACUCACAUUAACAGGUAUACCAAUUCAGAAAGAAGUGUAAAGCGAACAGUGCAAUGGACCACUAGUAUAAAUUGGCUGUACACAAACAUGGGACUUAAACAGGAACUGCGAGAUGCAGGGUUCACGUGCAAACCCAAAAAACGGAAAACUGAAACGCACAACAAGAUUUUAUCUUCAUAUAUAUAUAUUAUGAGCUAUUGGCUUUUUAGUCAGGUAAAUAUCAUUCUUAAGACUACGGAAAACAGCAGGCGGCGAAGAAAACAUCUAUUGAUGAGAACUAUACACAUACUUAAGAAGGAAGUGACAUCUAUGGUAGCAGAACAUAUAUCAAGCUGUUGCAGCUACAUUAGCAGUUUAGCACAGUUCCUCCAUAAUACACAGGCUAGUGUAAUUUCACAAAUACAAUAAGCUAACAAUAUAUAUUUGGUAGAUGGAAAUGGCUGGAUCAUGACCAAUAUACCAUUACACAUCCGAUGAUGCAAAUAAACCACAAUAGAACAUGUAUUUGGCGAAACCUCCAUACUGCAAUAUCAAACAUGAAUUGAAAUUAACAAUCUAGCAAAAAAACAUGACAGAUGCAGUCUUGGUCAUUUUUCCUUUUGUGACAUCCCCUAAAAAAAGUAAAAACAAUGUUGUUCGUAUUUUACCAGAGAUACACUGAGCUGGGACAAAUUGGUCUGAAAUAAAAUAUGAUGGCUUCGGAGGAUUCGGAAGGGAAGAAAUUUGCUUUCUUCCAACAUAUAUGGUCUGCUGAACUAAACUUCGUUUCAGCGGGCUUUGCCAAAAAUCUGUAACUGCAAACAUCAACUUGUGUGCCCUUCCUACGUCAAACUUUAAACCUGAGCUCAGUGUACUUUAUGAGUGUUAAGUGUACUUUCUAAAUAGCAGAGAAACCAUAACAUCUAAGCACAACCCAGCAACUUGUACAAGCUAACAUCAAAUCUGAAAGAAGAAAUGUCGAGAACAGGUGAAGGUACCAUGAUCCACGACUGAGCAAAGUUAUCUAUUAUCCUCGGUGAAUAUCAUAAAUUAGGAUCAACUACGCUGAAGAACAAACGGGAAAGGAACCUAGAAAGAUCUUUUGCCGGUAGAAUAUAACUGAUACACUAUCCUCAUUCUCGAGAUCAAGGUCGUUUCUUGAAUUGCAGUUUCCUCACUGUAGUAUGGGGUCAUUACACUGCGAAGAACAAAGUGUCAUAUGAAUCAUUUAGAGCCCAAUCUUUUUCACUGAAACUCUUAUGAUCACAUAACGAAUUUAAACAUAAGGUUUAUUAGAUAUUUGUUGUUGUGAAUAGAUAAUAUAUUUCUGGUGUUGACAAUGUUUUGAUUAUGGAUGCACUUCAAGAUGGGUGGCACAGAUUCUGUUGUACAGGCCUCCACCUGGAAUUUCAUCACUUGUUAUUUUUGUUUUAGAAUGUCUAGGUGCAUUUUUCCUUUAAGGUGGAAACAGAUGUACUUGUAUAAGCAACAAGAAUACAAAGCGCCACUGCCAUACAUUGUGGAAGUUCAGUGCUUCUGUUUACAAAAUCUGCUUCCCAAAACAGAAGGUUUAUAAUUUUUUAUUACAAUCAAGCGGACAUGAGCUGAUGAGUACAGAUGUAGACAUGUACUGAGAGCAGCACCCUUUCAAAAGUGGAUCAUUUACAUGUUGGAUAGUUUGAUGGUCUGAAAUUAAUGGUCGUGUUUCAGAAUUGUUAUCGAAUAGUAGGGGAUAUAUAUUAACUUCUGAAAUUAGUGGCUGUUUGUCAGAACUGUUAUCGAAUAGUAGGGCACAUAUAUUAACUUCAAUAAGUGGACUAAUAUCUUUGGAUUCGCUGUGAGGAAAGAUUACCAAAACAAAACAGAAGUGAGUGCGACGACCCAGAUGAGGGCGCUCUUGAGCCUCUUCCCGACCGACCUAGAUGCAGGAGCAGAACACGGCGGAUCUAAUCAGCCAACCAAUAAAGCCGAGGAAGUAAGGGAGGAAGAAGACUGACUUGUCCUGGUCGCCCUCGUAGUUAGAACAUGGCGAACAGGAUGACGAGGAAGACGAGGACAGCGUCGAGGAUGUAGACGACGAGCCAGAGCAUGUUCAUGGGCAGGAUCAAGCAUGGGCAGGAUAAGGGCGCAGGCCCCGUUGUAGGCGGCGUGCUUGCAGGCCUGGCGGUUGGCGACGUCGGCGGGGAGCAUGAGGAUGGAGAGGACGGCGACGGUGAUGCCGAGCACGAUGACGAGCUUGAGGAAGUAGGCCUGGUUGGCAUCAUCCGGGUGCUGGUAGUUGACGAGCAGGCAGACGCUGACGAGGAGCACCAGGAUGCUGACCACCGCCGCCACGAUCACUAGCGCCACGUUAAAAAACCCAUAUCCUCGGGGCUCCGGUCCCGGUUCCGGCCCGCCGCCUCGCCCCCGUUGGUCGGUCAGAUCUCUCUGUCCCUAGAGGCGGGGGAUACAGGCUAGGGUUUGGGCGUGGGCGGGGAAUAGGCUGCUAUGGUGCCGGCAGCGGGGCGUGGAGGAGAGAAGGAUUAGGAGGAAUAAUUCACCACACUUUGAUUAACCUCUCGGCUGGGUCUUAUGUACAGAUUACAGGGCCAGCCAGGGAGAUCAUGAGGUGAUCCACUACCUGGGAUCGUGCGCCACGAUCACUACAUGCGUGCGCCACGAUCAUAUACACACACGCUACACCUAGUGUCUACGCAACUACGGUAUAGCAGUACGGUACAGUCUAACACCCCCCCCCCCCCGCAGUCGUGACGUCGUCGGCGGCGACGCAAAGACUGGACCGGAACUCAGAGAAAACAUCCGAUGGCAGGCCUUUGGUCAUGAUGUCCGCGAGUUGUUGGCGCGUGGGGAUGUGAAGAACACGGAAGUGGCCGAGGGCGACGCGCGCCCGCACGAAAUGGAUGUCCAGCUCCACAUGCUUAGUGCGGCGAUGAUGCAUCGGAUUGGCUGACAGGUAGACUGCGGACACAUUGUCACAGUACACCAGUGCUGCCUUGGUCACUGGAGCGGAGAGCUCGCCGAGAAGCUGGCGGAGCCAGAUGCAUUCAGCGACCGCGUUGGCGACGCCGCGGUAUUCAGCUUCGGCGCUGGAGCGCGAUACGGUCGCCUGGCGCUUGGAGGACCAGGAGACGAGAGCAUCGCCGAGGAAGACGCAGAAGCUCGACGUGGAGCGUCGGGUGUCGGGGCAGCCGGCCCAGUCCGCGUCGGUGAACGCAAGGACGUCGAGCGUGGUCGAGGCGUGAAGAUGAAGCCCGAGUGCGCAGGUGCCCUUCACGUACCGGAGCACGCGCUUGACGAGCGCGAGGUGGCAUUCGCGCGGGUCAUGCAUGUGCAAGCAGAUUUGCUGGACGGCGUAGGCGAUCUCUGGACGCGUGAUGGUGAGGUACUGCAGGGCCCCGGCGAUGCUCCGAUAGGCCGAGGGGUCGUCGACGCAGGGCCCAUCGGCUGAGAGGAGUUUGCUCUUCGUGUCGAUGAGUGUCGGGGAAGGGCGGCAGGUGUCCAUGCCGGCGCGUUCCAGGAGUUCGUCGGCAUAUUGUUGUUGCGACAGGAAGAAGCCAGCUCGGGUGCGGGUGACGCGGAUGCCGAGGAAGAAGGCGAGCGAGCCCAGGUCCUUCAUGGCGAAUUCGCCUGUGAGGCGCUGGAUGACAUGGUGAAGCACGCGUGACGAGGACGCGGUGAGCACGAUGUCGUGGAUGUAGAUGAGGAGGAACGCCAUGUCGUUGCCGUGCCGGAAGGUGAACAGCGACGAGUCCGAACGCGUAGCUGCGAAGCCAAUGGAGCGGACGAAGCCGGCGAAGCGGAGGAACCAGGCACGGGGCGCCUGCUUGAGCCCGUACAAGGACUUGGAGAGGCGGCAGACGUGCUCUGGUUUGUCGGGGUCGACGAAUCCGGCGGGCUGGAGGCAGUAGACUUCCUCCUCCAAGUUGCCGUGGAGGAAGGCGUUGGAGACGUCGAGGUGGUGCACCGGCCAGCCGCGCGACGCGGCCAUAGUGAGCACAGUGUGGAUCGUCGCUGGCUUGACGACGGGGGAGAACGUCUCGCCGUAGUCGACGCCGGCACGCUGAUGAAAGCCCCGCACGACCCAGCGUGCUUGCUAGCGGGCCAGCGCACCGUCGGCGUCGUUUUUGUGCUUGAAGAUCCACUUCCCUGUGAUCAGGUUGGCGCCGGGGGGGCGGGGCACCAGCUCCCAUGUGCGAUUGCGCACGAGCGCAUCGUACUCAGCACGCAUGGCACCGAGCCAGUUCGGGUCGUGAACAGCAGCGCGAACCGAACGCGGCACCGGCGACACCGAUGAUGAGGUAGAGGCGGUGGCCGCGUCGUAGUAGCGCGGGUUGGGGCGGAAGAUGCCGCGCUGGGCACGCAUGACCAUGGGCACAGGAGGCGCCGGUGCGCGGGGCGCCGUUGGUCGCGCGCUCGGAGACGAGCUGUCGGAGGAGCCACUGGCGGAGUUGUCGGAGGAGCCGCUGGCGGAGGCGAAGACAGGCGGACCUGGCGCGGAUGGGCACGUCGAGGACGGAGCAGAGCCGCCAUCGGAAGCGCCCGCAGCGCACCGCGAGCUAACGCGGCGCGCCCCGCUGGUUGGCGAUGAUGAGCGGGGCAGGCUGGUGAUGGAGAUCGGGCGCGCCGGCAGGACGGGUGACAUGCUGCUGUCAGGCACCGGUGGAAGCGCAGGCAGCGCAGGAGGCCGGACGGCGAGCGGGAUCUGCAGGGUAGAGGGUACGACGGGUGGCGUAGGCGACGGGGAAGAGGAUGCGAACGGGAAAACGUGGUCGUGGAAGAGAACGUGGCGAGACGUGAGGACACAGCGAGAGGUGAGGUCAAAGCAGCGAAAACCACGAUGAUCGGGAGGGUACCCGAGGAAGACGCAGGCGAUAGAACGUGGCUCGAGCUUAUGGCGGGUGGUGGCGGUGACGUUCGGAUAGAUGCGGAGUAAUUUGUGCGACGCCGAGCAGGAGUUCAUGCGGAGUGCAGGGCGCCGAGGCGCGGCAGGGCCGAUGAUUGAGCAGGUAGGUCGAGGUGUUGAGAGCCUCUGCCCAGAAGCGAGCGGGCAUGUGCGCAUGACAGAGAAGCACACGAACGCCGUCGUUGAUCGUGCGGAGAACUCGCUCGUCCUUGCCGUUCUGCUGACUGGUGUAUGGGCAGGUGAGACGGAAGUGUGUGCCGUGGCGAGCAAGCAGAGAGCGCACAGCUGCGCUGUCGAAUUCACGACCAUUGCCCGUUUGCAGUGCAAGUAUGGGUAACUGAAACUGAGUCUGAACAUAGGCAAAGAAAUCAACAAGUAUGGGAAGAACUUCAGACAUGUGUUUCAGAGGGAAAGUCCAGACAUAGUGACUGAAAUCAUCUAGUACAACUAAGUAAAACUGAUAGCCGGAUAUGCUUACAACGGGAGCGGUCCAUACAUCAAGGUGUAAAAGCUGGAAAGGAAAGAAACUAGCAGUGGUGGAUGUCUGAAACGGGAGCCAGGUGUGUUUGCCAACACGACAGGCAUGACAGACAGGCGGAUCACGGCAGAACUCCAGGGACUGAUCGGCAGCAACGGUGCGGAGUGCGGCAGCCCCUGGGUGGCCGAGACGUUGAUGCCACAGGUCGGUCGUGGCGGCGCCGGCGAAGAUGCCCGGGGAAUGGACGGAUGGCCGCACCACGGGAUAGAGAUCGCCGUCGGAGUCACAUCGGAGAAUCACUACCCUGGUUCGUAGGUCCUUGACAGAGAAACCACGAGCGUCAAAUUCAACAGAAACGGGGUAGGAACGACAAAGCUGCCGAACUGAAAGUAGGUUUUUGACGAGAGAUGGAGAGACGAGAACGUUGCGGAGAGGAAUGGGGGAAGUGCUGGUGAUCAGCGCGCCCGUGCCAACGUGGGUGAUGGGCAGGCGGUCACCACUGCCCACGAUGAUAGAUGCAGUAGUAGAGGACGGGCGAGUGGAGAGGAGAUUACCAGGGGAGGACGUCAUGUGCGCCGCGGCGCCGGAGUCGAGGUACCACUCCGGUGCGCUGCCAGAGGAGGAAGGGCUGGCCGAGGCGCUGUGGAGGGCGGCCUGGAGCGAGGCCAUGUCCCAUGGCUGGUGGGUUGCAGUCGACGAGCUGGCGCCGGGGUGCCCGUAGCCUGACAGGACGUCGGAGACGGGUGGAGUGACGCCGUAGCCGGGGAGGGUAGCGCCGUAGCCGUAUGGUGCAGCCGGCGACGGGGCGGCGAACAUGGCCUGCUGGUACGGCGUACCAGGGCGGGGGCCGAGCACUUCAGCUCCAGCCGCGCGCCAAGGCAUCGGCCAAGCCUGGACCAUGCCGGUCCAUGCGUUUGUACCGGGUGCAGGCGUGGGGUACGCUGGGGGAGGGCGGGGAGCCUGGGAGGACGGCGUGGGCGGGCCACCAAUGCCGUUGCCACGUCUGGGGCGGCGUCCGCGCCCACGCCCUUGGUUGGUGUUGCUGGGCGGGGGUGUGGGUGGUGUAGGAGAGCCGCCACGCCCGGCGACGAGAGCGUGCGCAGACUGCUGGCGAGUGGUCGACUGCUCUGCUCGGUGUUCCUCAAGCAGGACGAAGGAGCGCACCUGCAGGAACGACGGGAGCGGGACCUGCGAGGUGAUGUGAGGGAUGGCGGAGUGGAACUGCCGGUUCAGACCGCGGAGCAGGUUGAAGACCUGCCGCGAGUCGGUUACCGGCUGCCCGAGGUGGCGGAGUUGAUCCGUGAACGACUUCAUCUUGGUGCAGUACACCAUGAUCGACAUGUCGCCCUGAACGAUAGCGUGGUACUCGGCGUCGAGGUAGACAGCGCGAGCGAGGUGGUUGUCGCGGAAGAUUCCAUCGACCGCAGUCCAGACGGCCAGAGCAGUGUCGUCCGGCUGCAUGACGGCGUCGAGCAGGUCCGGCGAUAUGGUGGUGUAGAACCAGUGGACGACGACGUGAUCAGCCAUGCCCCACUCGGGAUCAUCGUGGCGGUGGAUGGCCGUGGCGCCGAACAUGCCGAUGACGGUGUCGAAGUGGCGGCGCCACUGCGUGUAGUUGCCGGCGAGAAGGUCGAGGGUGACCGGGACAUGACGACGGAUGUCCACGGUCUGCAGGAUCGCGGAGGCGACAGGUGCUGUAGCAGGAGGAGGAGGGAUGACGGGCACCGCGGGCGCGACAGGUGCUGGAGCCGGCGGUGCCUUGGCCAGGGGGACAGCGUUAAGGACGCCGUCGGCGCCGUGCUGCGAGGAGCGAGGGGACACGAUGGGGUUGUCAUCCAUGGCGGCGGAAGCGGGACUGGCGACCUGCGCGAAGGGAUUGAGCAGGUCGGGGGAAUCUGGUACCAUAGAGGAGAGAAGGAUUAGGAGGAAUAAUUCACCACACUUUGAUUAAGCUCUCGGUUGGGUCUUAUGUAUAGAUUACAGGGCCAGGGAGAUCACGGGGUGAUCCACUACCUGGGAUCGUGCGCCAGGAUCACUAUAUGCGUGCGCCACGAUUAUAUACACACAUGCUACAACUAGUGUCUACGCAACUACGGUAUAGCAGUACAAUACAGUCUAACAGGGCAGCCACCGGCGGGGAGGGCGGGAUCCACGCGGGGUGGCGGGAUUUGGGCAGGCGGUGGGCUCGGGGGAGGGCGGUGGCAGCGAAGCAGCAAGGAGGGGCUGGAGGAGAUGAAACGAAAGAGGUCGCGUGACACAGCGACAGCGUUGUCCAAUCCCCGCGCUGCCGAUUUAAAAAAAAGGUAAUGAUAACUCCCGAACGUUCGGGAGUUAAGCAUGGAAACCCGAACGGGUUUAGAUGGCAAGUUUAGUUUGCGUGAGAUUAGGAAAACAUGGCAAUUUUCUGACAAAAGAAAUGAAAAAGGAUGAAGUUGCCAUCCCUAUCAACUAAAGUUGCCAUCCCCUAUGAACUAAAGUUGCCAUGUAAAAACGUUCGGGACGAAAUGCUCAAAAUCCGAACGUUCGGAAGUUACUGGAUUCAAAAAAAUCCCCUUGCUGCCAAUCGCUGGUCCGUUUCUUUUUUCGCCCAAUCGCUAGGUGAUGACGUGGCUAUCGCGGGAAGGCGCCCUUGAUGCGUAGUCGAAUGGUUUUAAUUAAUAGGAAGCGAGUGCUUACUCUAGUUACUGAAUUAUGUACACCAAAUAAAGCCAUUUACACGUAGUUAAUGACAAAAAAAGUUGAUGUUUGCUACGCAAAUGUGUAGUACAAAUUAAGAAGUGCAAGAUAAAAAAAAAUGCUGGUCCUUGAUUCGUUGUUGAUCGUCAGCAUGCCAUCAUCAAUUUGUAGUUAAUUAUCAUACAAAUUGGCUCUUUCAUAGAGUUGGAGACUAGCUCCUUUGAUCAGCACGCGCUUAAACACAAACAGCACGUAUAUGUUUUGUCUCCGGAGUUCAAUUCUUCAUCGGCCAGUAAAAAUGGCCCGACCAGGUAGAGGAAAAGGCAUGUUUGUUAGUACGCCUGGAGGAAAUGCCUUUGAUUAGGGCAUCUUCAACAGCGACCAGUAAAUUUCCUCCCGCGUUCGUCCACGGAUAGGGGAUCAGUCCGCGGAUACGAAUACAGGAAUCAUCCAUCCAACGCUGUCCGCGUAUAUUUCAAACACAUUUUUUUUAAAAAUAGGAUGAAAUUCAUGCAAACACAAUGGAUUUCAUACAAACCGGACAAAAAUGUUUACAUUUUGGACAUUUUUUUUUACUAAAAACUCUACAGCCGGCGCCGGCGAAUAUCCACUCCGGCGACAUGGAUACCCUUGACUAGUCUACUGCCGGCCGCAGCGGAUCUCCGAUGUCGUCCCCAUGUCCGGCAGCUAUGAGCCCUAGAGGUAUAUGCUUCAGCGCAAAGAGCGGCUCGCCUCCCUACCGCUCAUCGGAGUGGAACAACCAGCUGAUGCUUCUGCCGAUGGAAAGGGUCCCUACGCUACACGGAUUAGAGUUGGUUUUGGGCUGGGAACGGCGGUGGCCUGCCAGAGGGCAAGACACCGACUGUGUAUGCUGGUGUCACCUGGUGUGGCAUUCGUGGGACCCAAGCGGCAGCGCCUCCUCGAUGAUGGCGGCGAGCGCGGACGUGUUGGACACCACCUCGUCGAUGUCCGUGCAGCCCGCUUCUUUCUCUAUAGGAAGGACGCGGUUACGCUCGCGUUGACAUCGGAUGACUCGGUCACAUGCACGGGAGGGGCGGUACGACAUGGCAUCGCCAAUGGCAGCCAUGAUGCCCGCGCCACCGUGCUCCCUCCCAGUGCCGACCUGGAGCAACUUGCCACUCCUCGGCUCGUGACCGGUGGGCUUGACGGGCCACCUAGCCAUUUUUUAUGCCAGACAACUCUUCUUCCUGCUCGUCAGAUGUCAUGGAUAAAACUGUUUAAGGAGGAAAAUGAUGAGUGGACGUGUGAUGCGGUUCUUGCCCAACAUCUGACAUUGUUUAAAUAGUGAGGGGACACGAGAGGAGCCAACCGGCGUUCUGUUUAAUGCCAACCGGCUCGCGAACGAACAUGUGGCCGGAGUAAUUAUCCUGGCACACACGAGGGUUUUAUGGUGGAAGGCGGGCAGUCUGCAGGAAUGAGGCGAGGAUGUGUGCUUAGCCGGCGUGCAGCAGGCGGUGCCCUCGGCCGGCGUGCUGCUUCCAUUGCGGAGGCAGUGAAAGGUCGCGUCCGCUCUGCAGCGCAUGAAUGCGGGCAGCUGGCGCAGAGCGGGAACGCGUGUGGGCGAGGGAGGAGGGGGUUUGGGCGGGUGGUCAGAAGAGGUCGUGGGUGUUGUCCGAACGCCUGCAAAGCCCCCCUCCAUGUUUGUCUCCAGUUUGCGGGAGAAAGUACGUCCGGACCGUCUCCAAUGGACCAAUACAGGCCCGCAUUGGAUGGCACAACACGUCCGGACGAUGUGGUCCGGAUGGUUGUGGACAGUUUAAUUGAGGGUCGGCGUUGGAGAUGCCUUAGAGUUUAUGAAUCCAUUGUGUUUUUCUAAUCAUAAAAAAGCACUUACAAUAAGUUAUAAGGAAAGACACGAUUAUAUGUUAGGUUCAGACUCCAGCUUUCGUUUUACAUAUGCUUUAUUCAUCCGACUGAUUCCAAUAGAGUGAGCCUAGCGUUGUUUUUCUGGAAACUCGCGGGAUAAGGAGACAUGCAUACACAUUCUUUCAAGCAAAUCACAUCCAUUUUUUUUAACUCAUUUUUCUUCUUUUAAUAAUAUAAUAGAUCAUUUAUAUUUUUUAUCUGAAACAGUUGACGUGUAAUUUAUAUUGUAAUCUGAGGAUAAUGUUUGGAUUUUACUUUCAAAUAUAUUUGAAAUGGCCAUGAUGGAAUCACAUCCAUUUAUUUUAUUAUUAUUUGAAUUUGAUCCAAAAGAUAAAUAAUGAGUAGAGGUCAUGUCAACUUUUCUGAGAACUUUGCUAAUCAAAAUAUAAAUUGUAUUUAAAAACAUCUAUUUUUUAGCACGCAUGAAAAACAUAACACGUAUCUUUUCACACAUAAUGAACGGUUGUCAUAAGAACUCAUGCCAUGCCACAACCUCCCUCCGACCCUGCCAACAUUGUUGCAGCUGCACUCGCAAGCCUUAGCGUAGAUGAUAAUUUAUACAAUUUGCGUAAAAACAAAAUAAGAUCUACAAAUGAAUAGAAGCUAGAACGUACAUUGGCAUGCACACACAUUGCAAGCCAUACUAAGCUGAUAAGUGUUAAUAACUUGUAUAACAUAUACAACACUUAACACAAGUAAAAGCAAUUUGAUGAGUCAUGGUCUAUCAAAGCCACAUUACUAGUCUAAUCCAUCUUAACAGGUCACACAUGAUUAAAAUCUUGUUUGUGUGCAAGUCAAGCUUAUCUAGUUUACAUGUAACAACUUGUAGAACAUUACAAAAUUUAUGUUUGCUAAUAACUUCUAGAACACUACAACACUUGACAUGUAAAAGGAAUUUGAUGAGUCAUGGCCUACUAAAGCAAGUUAUAUUACUAGUCUUAUCUACCUUAACAGGCCACACAAGAUUACAAACCAAGUUCUGUGCCAGCCAUGCUUAUCUAGUUUAUGCGUAACAAUUUGCAGAAAAUUACAAACUUAGUUUCAGAAAAAUAGGCAAUCUAGAUUAGUGUUUGAGCUGUAAAGUGAAUAAAAUGAGUCAUGCGUGUUAUCACACCUUUUUGGUUGUGGAAUGAUAGUGCAACAACAAGGAACUUUAAUGACCAGUUCAAGAAUACACUUGUAAGUAGUGCCACCGAACACAACAUACCAAAUUAUGAUUUUGAGAAGCAUCCAAGCACUUCCACACAAGCAAAUGCCAAUUGUGAAAGAGAUCAUGCCAUGGCAGCUAUAAAUAGGCCCGUAGCAUGACGAUCAUCCUUCCUCAUCCAUCAUUCUCAUAAGUAGAGCGCAUCAUUUAAGCCAAGCAAGCAGUGCUCAAUACAAAUCCACCAUGAAGACCUUUCUCAUCCUUGCACUCCUUGCUAUUGUAGCAACCACCGCCACAAUUGCAGUUAGAGUUCCAGUGCCACAAUUGCAGCCACAAAAUCCAUCUCAGCAACAACCACAAGAGCAAGUUCCAUUGGUACAACAACAACAAUUUCCAGGGCAGCAACAACCAUUUCCACCACAACAGCCAUAUCCGCAGCCGCAACCAUUUCCAUCACAACAACCAUAUCUGCAGCUGCAGCCAUUUCCGCAGCCGCAACUACCAUAUCCGCAGCCGCAUCUACCAUAUCCGCAGCCGCAACCAUUUCGACCACAACAACCAUAUCCACAACCGCAACCACAGUAUUCGCAACCACAACAACCAAUUUCGCAGCAGCAGCAACAACAACAACAACAACAACAACAACAGAUCCUUCAACAAAUUUUGCAACAACAACUGAUUCCAUGCAGGGAUGUUGUAUUGCAACAACACAGCAUAGCGCAUGGAAGCUCACAAGUUUUGCAACAAAGUACUUACCAGCUGGUGCAACAAUUGUGUUGUCAGCAGCUGUGGCAGAUCCCCGAGCAGUCGCGGUGCCAAGCCAUCCACAAUGUUGUUCAUGCUAUUAUUCUGCAUCAACAACAACAACAACAACAACAACAACAACAACAACAACCGUUGAGCCAGGUCUCCUUCCAACAGCCUCAACAACAAUAUCCAUCAGGCCAGGGCUCCUUCCAGCCAUCUCAGCAAAACCCACAGGCCCAGGGCUCUGUCCAGCCUCAACAACUGCCCCAGUUUGAGGAAAUAAGGAACCUAGCGCUAGAGACGCUACCUGCAAUGUGCAAUGUCUAUAUCCCUCCAUAUUGCACCAUUGCUCCAGUUGGCUUCUUCGGUACUAACUGAGAAGAGAAGAACUCUAGUAGUAGACAUAUGAUACACCGUUUUCUUAGUCCAUGGUUUGGUCGUUGUAGCGGUGAAAAAAUAAAGUGACAUGCAGUAUCAUGUAAGAACCCGAA